rnacentral:misc_RNA from 1 species
UGAUGGCGGUGGCGUUCGUGC